UUUCUUGAAAUGGGAAACCAAAUGGGAAAAUCAUCAAAAACUUUGGCAAUCCAGACGGAAGUCAAACACGUUGACAGGAUGAUCAUGAAUGAAAUGUCGACGUUCUGCUUCAAGGAGUGCAUGAAGAAACAGCAUAAAUCCCAAUUCGAAUCUCUGGAGGCAUGUUCGCUGUGUUGCAAGGAUAUGUUUUACUUGUUGCUGUCCGACUUGAAUCACAAUAAAUGCCAAUACACGUUCCAUGAGACGGAGGAGAACCCAUAACAAAAUACAACAAAUUAAAGUAGGUCUGGGGGAAACAUCAAGAGAAUGAAAAUAAAUGUAUUUGAAUUUCACAGAAUGCCAAAACUAACGACCCCAAAUCCCAUGUUGUACAUGGAACAAGGUCACAUAAUUGGCUCCCCAUGCCCAAUUCCAGUGUAUAAUAAUAA